CACAAUAAGUAUCCCACCUGGGGAGUACAGCCGCAAGGUUGAAACUCAAAGGAAUUGACGUGGGCCCGCACAAGCAGUGGAGUAUGUGGUUUAAUUCGAAGCAACGCGAAGAACCUUACCAGGGCUUGACAUCCCUUGAACUAUCUAGAGAUAGGUAGGGCCUACGGGACAAGGAGACAGGUGGUGCAUGGUUGUCGUCAGCUCGUGUCGUGAGAUGUUGGGUUAAGUCCCGCAACGAGCGCAACCUUUAUAGAUAAUUGCCAGCAAUGAGAUGGGGACUCUAGCGAGACAGCCGUUGAGUAAACGCACGAAGGAAACGAUGACGUCAAAUCAUCAUGCCCCUUAUGCUNUGGGCUACACACGUACUACAAUGGCUACUACAGAGGGAAGCGAAGCCAGGAGGCGGAGCAAAUCUCAAAAAGGUAGUCACAGUUCAGAUUGUAGGCUGAACUAGCAUGCAUGAAGUAGGAAUUGCUAGUAAUUGCAGGUCAGACUACUGCAGUGAAUACGCUCCCGGGCANUGUACACACCGCCCGUCACACCAUGAGAGUCUGAACACCCGAAGUC
rnacentral:rRNA from 1 species